AACUAGUGCGAUUGCUCUGGUGAGGCCUGUCCAGUCACACACAGUAUUAAUAUCCAGGCCAGCAGUGGCCUCUCCUCCUCAGUGCCCACUUGUGACCACCAAACGGGGUCCUAAUUGAAUUGAAUAUGCUCAAAUACUGAAGACAGACGUAACACAACAUGAUUACCAUAUCAGAUUAGAUGCAUCAUAUCUUUAAUUCUACAUUUCAUAAUUUUUUCAUCUUAUUUAUUUAUUUAUUUAUUUAUAUAUUUAUAUAUUUAUUUAUGUAUUUAUUUGAAUCCUUAGUUCCUUCCUCCCUUCUCUUUUUUGUUCCAUAUCCCCCCACCCUCCUGCCUCCCUCCAUGCACAUAUUAUUAUUGUAAUGACAGAAAGGUCCUGGCCCACAUCUCUUAUUUAUUUACAAAUGAUGAGUGCCUGGUUUUGAUGUGUUGGCAGUCAUAGUUCAUAGACGAGGUCCCGGGCUGCUGUCUGGGUGACUCGAUAAGCUCUCUGUUUGUUUUGUCCACGCUGCAGCGGCAGACAUUGCUCUUCCCGUCAGUGUACCUUUUGUCUCCACAGGCCAAACUCUGCUUGUGUGUUGUUGACGUGUCGUGCAACGCAAACCGAGAGGUUGAAUUGAAUACGAGUACAGGAGGUUGUUACGGAGCUGAUCCUCCUCUUUAUUCUAAUCACAGGUUUCACACAAUAGGCUGCAGUUUACCAAAGGCAUUAUCUGUAAGCCAUCAUUCACCUUUUUAACUGUUGACAUUUGGUUUGUGCUAAGUUAAUUUUUGAUUAGUUGAAAAUGAAUCGUUUCUGUGCAUAGGAAACAGGAAACGAGCUAUUUUGAAAUAGAGCAACAGUGAAUUGUGUCACAAAAGCAGCUGAGAUGUUAGGUGCAUCGUAGCUGGAUGCAAAAUUUCCAGGCCAGUGUUUGAGUGUGAGCUUUUGUGACUUUAUGUACGUUGGCUAUUGUAUUACCUUUCAGUAUUUCAAAGUUACCAUGCUGUAUUAUUUGGAUCAAAUGGCCCUCGAUUUACCUCUACCAAGGAGGUCAUGUUUUCGGUUCGGUUGGUUUGUUUACCUGUCUUUUUGUCAGCAGGAUUAUGGAAAAUCUACUGGCCUGAUGAUGAACCCAUUAAAUUUUGGGUGCAUACACAAAUUAUUUUUCACUUUCGUUAACAUUGCGAGAUAGGGCAUUUGGCCUUGGCGGAGGUCUGCACUCGCCCUUCUAGUUGUGAGAUGUUUCCAUACUAGCGUGUCAGCUUUUUCUCCCCUACCUCACGUCCAUCAAAGUGGAGUUAAAGUUUACAUAAAACUUGUUGUUGGGUCAUUUAUUAAAAGGGAGUCAACCCAGUUUCGGUAAUGAUCAGGUAUUGUCAUGUCAGUGCUCCCUCUCCUCCUCUCUCCAGUGCUCAUCAUUUAUUCAUCGAGCAUCACCUUCCAUGUCAUGUCUCAUGUUUCACAGAAAACAUUCGAGAUCAAUUCCUAAUGUAACCCGAGACGGCAUGUAACCGUUGUCAUGUGAAAGCCUUGCAACUCAAACCAUUUUUGAUUUUCACGUUGUAAACCUUUUUGAAGGCUUUUCUGCGGGAUGAGAAAGUUGUACUUGUACAAGUUGACAAAGUCUUCGCCUGUGACACUUUUUUUACUCAUGCAUUCAACUUUCUGCAUGGGCCGUUUUUUAAGCUUUAAGUAUUUCAACACAUCAGUUAAUUAUCAGUAAACGACAUGUAUAACGUAUCAUUUCAUCCAAGGAACUGAUAAUUCCUCUUCCUGACCUGAAGAAAUCAUACAUUUAAACAUCCCCGUUGCCUUAUUUCAGUUUCUGUACAAUGGUCGAACCGAAACGGGCCCCCUCUGUACUGAGUAACAUGAUGUGUUCAAACAAACCGUUCAAGAAGCUGCAGCAAAACAGUUAGGCAACUGCUGAUAACAGUGCCCAGUUUAACAUCGAUACAUUCCUAAGAAGCUUUUACACUUCUGUUGCAGCUGCUCCACCUCUCCCGUUCACCCUUGUUUAUCCAAUGUUCUUGUUGUCGGAGAGCUCUGGCACUAACCUGUUAAAGUGUAUCAGGCCGAGCAGUUUGAGCACCUCACCAUGCUUUGCAUUGUGUUUCUGGACAUGUACGUACUCUUAAAGAGACAGUAUUUCUUUUGUGAAGUUCCUUUUUAAGGAAUCAGAUUUUUUAUUAUUAUUUUCACCGUUAUCUGUGAUGUUGCAGCAUGAAUUAUCAUGUGUGGCUCUACGGUCUGGCUCUCUGAGAACAUUAUGACUAGUAUUACCCUUCCUGCCUUGCUUUUUGCUGCAGUGUGCCUGCCUUUUCAAUUUGUGAAAUUGACAAGAACAUAAUACAAAAUAUCAUUUUAUGCAUAACAGUAUUGCAAGUUGUUUUUAAUCAAAGAAAAAAAUGUAUUCAUACAGAUUUAAUAGUGUAUUUUUAUUACAGGAAUAUGAGCUCUUAUUAUGAAAGACUCCUUGAUCUUGUUGUGAUUUGCCAACUAUGUAAAUUAAAUGUAGCCUAUAGUAUAUAGUAAGAUUACAAUAUUUUAGGUUAACAUUCCAAACGAAACAUUGUUGUCUUGAGUAAUAAUGAUGUGCUAUUAUUUAUUUAGGGGAUCACACAAGUUUGUGCACAUUAGCCUGCUUUAACAAACAAUCACUGUAGCAAGAGAAAAAGGAUACUGUCUCUUUAAAUCUGUUUCUGCAUCUGUGAUUGGAUGUAAUUAAGGCCCUUUCUGGGAUAGCAGGUGUAAGGAUGGCCCUCUUUUGUUUUCUGUAACCCUUUGAGUGCUUGAACAAGAUCACUUUAUGUUUUUACAUGCAGAUUAAUGCAGAUAUUGUGAUCACCUUCUCUUAUUUUUCUAUUAGAAUAAACACAGGACUAAGAUAUUAUUUAUAUGUAAAUGUAUAAAGGUGGCAGACCUUUUAAAUUGUGGCUUUUACAUCCUCACUGCUCCUAAAGUGUAGUUUGUACACAGCCUUUCCAAACAAGCAUUGGUUUUUGGGAUGCUGUACCAAUUUUGUCCCCUCAGGUCCUCAAAGGGUUAAUGCUUCCUGCCUCGAGCUUGUUCUUUCAAUUAUCUUUUCAACCUGGCCUUCCAAGUGUUCUGUACUCUUAUCUUUACCAAAACACCUGUUGCUUUACAUCCUAAUAGUAAAACAAAGUUUGUCAUCUCCCCAGAAUUACUGAUUUUAGUCUGUGAAUGUGCCUUCUCAUUCUGGUUCCUGCUUCUAUAUCCUCUGAUUAUCUUUGUUUUCCUUCUUGCUGUUUGUUUUCUUCCUUUUCUCCUGACUCUGCAUGCCCUUGUAUUCUAAAUGACUGAAAUCUAAUUUUACAAGUGUUAGUUUGACAAACCUCUUGUAAUGAUAGACCUCUUUCACAGUACUUUGUGACCUUUCUCUCUUUCUCUCUACUCAUGUGAUCGUAAUAAAUAUUACUGUUGGUAUUGCUGAAA